GAGAGAGAUAAGUACUGGAUGGAUCGGUCCUCAACCCGAUCCAUCCAGACUCUUCAGUGCUCGUGCUUCGCGUCUUUCUCUCGCGUGUCUCUCUCUCUCACACACUCUCUCUCUCCAUCGCUGCUGUGCGCUGCUGUCCGCUGCGCCGGCCGUCGCCGCCAGAGCGUCGCGCCGCCGUGCGCUCGCGUUGCUGCCGCGCUGCCGUCCGCCGCGCCGGCCGUCGCUGCCAGAGCUAGCGUCGCGCCGUCGUGCGCCUGCGCGCCGCUGCCGCGUGCGCCGCGCCGCCGCCGUCGCGCCGCCGUGCGCGCUGCCGCCACCUGCUCUGUGCUGGCCGCCGUGAAGAAGCAAGCAGCAGCCAGCACCGAAGAAGCAAGCAAGCUGCCGGCAGAGCAAAGAAGCCAGGAAGAAAAAAGAGAAAAGAAAAGAAAAGAAAAGGAAAGAGGAAAAAAAAAGAAGAAGAAAGAAAGGAAAAAAAAAGGGAAAAAAAAGAAGGAAAAGGGAAAAGUUGGAAAUUUCGGAUUUUCGUCGGAUUCAUCGUCAAUCUUUCGAAGGUGAUUUCUCGAUGGUACUAUUUUCGGACGUUCUUGAUCGAAUUUUCUUCAUCGUCGGUAAAGGCAAGUGAAUGUAUUGUAUGACUAUGCUUUAACCUAAUAUUGGGUUGCCUACAUUCUUUAAUUACAGUGCAUUCAUCUAAUCUGAAUGACUGAUUCUGGACUGAGUACUAUGUUGUUUACGUUUCCAGAAGUUUACUCGAUGAUUGAUUUAUGAAGUGCAGUAGGCAUAAUAUGCCAUUCUGCAGUUGUUCAUUAGUGUUGUAUGCGAUGUUUUUUUUGAAGUCUCAAGCAUAUUCCGGAAGUUAUGUUGGUUAUGCUUGAAGCACGUCAUACAUAUAUGUCUCAUGCAUUGGAAGUUUGUCGUCGUCUUCUGGCCGCGACCGUACCGGUACAGUACCGUAUGUCACCCGAGAAGGGGUACGGUGCACACCCUUACGUUACCCGAGGAGGGGUAAGGGUGAGAAGAGCAUGUCAUGUGCAUGGUUAUGUCUUCUUGUGAAAUUCAAUGAAUUAUUCAUAUCAAAUCUUAUUUCCUUUAAUUAGCGUGUAUAUAGAUAUAUAUGCGGCUCUGAAGGCUUAUACCAACCGAAUGUUAAAAUGUUUAAUGUUAUCGUUGGAUUUGCUUAGUCAUAACUGUUUCUCCUGGUGUUGGCGGUCUGUUUCAUUACUAGUUUCUAUUUAGAAUUGUUAGCACAUUCAACUGUGGCUAAAUAGCUUUUUGUUAAAGUACCUUUCACUUGCUGAGAUUUUCGAAUCUCACCCGUGUUUUUUUUACAGGUAUGUUUAGAUGUUGACGUGCAUUUUGGGGAUGGAUCUCGGUAGCUGCACACACUAACUUAUCACGAUGUCGAUAGCUCAACCGGUGUAUACAAGUGGUGUGUCUGAUGGUCCGUCGUUUGUUUUUGUUUAUGUUGUGGUACGACGCUGGUAGCGUCGUGGUGGACUCUAUAUAUAUGCUGGUUAUAUC